CAUCGCCUCUUGACCCAAUAAGAGGUCCAGCCUGCCCAGUGACCCUGUUCAACGGCCGCGGUAUCCUAACCGUGCGAAGGUAGCGUAAUCACUUGUCCCCUAAAUAGGGACUAGUAUGAAAGGCAUCACGAGGAUUAAACUGUCUCCUCUCUCUGAUCAGUAAACCUAAUCUCCCCGUGAAGAAGCGGGAAUUUUAAUAUAAGACGAGAAGACCCUAUGGAGCUUAAAACACUAUAUCACCCGCCACACUAUUCCAUCCAGAUUACUCACCCUGGCGCACUGAUUAUAAAGUUUUCGGUUGGGGUGACCAUGGAGAAAAACUCAUCCUCCAUAGCAACUAGAACAAACAAGUUACAACUUCCAUCUCAAUAAAUUGACACCAUUGACCCAAUAUUUGAUCAACGAACCAAGUUACCCUAGGGAUAACAGCGCAAUCCACUUUAAGAGCUCAUAUCGACAAGUGGGCUUACGACCUCGAUGUUGGAUCGGGGUACCCCGGUGGUGCAGCAACUACUAAAGGUUCGUUUGUUCAACGAUUAAAACCCC
rnacentral:rRNA from 1 species